UCUUGGUGGGCUCCUUAACAGUCUGUCACUGUUAAGUACAAAAGAUGAAGGAACACUGGGGCUGGCUGGGGGAAAAGAGGAAACUUUGUUCCAGAAGGAACUGUCUGAGGGAU